CAUCCCGGGACUGGCGAAGCUUCUGCACCCCGCAACCCAAGCAAGGGCCCGAGCCGGCGCAGACCCGGCCCCGCGGAGACCACCCCACGGAGCUCUUACGGAGCCCCCACCGAUCUCCCACGGAAUCGCCACUGAGACCUCGAGGAGCCCCCUCUGAGACCCUAAGGAGCCCCAAUGAAAUCCCACAAAUUCCUCACCGAGACCCCACCAAGGACCCACGGAAGACCCUCAAGAAGGACCCAUGAGCCCCCACUAAGACCCACGGAAGCCCGUCGCCGCCCAGCCUGUGAAGGCCCAGCUGCAGGCCGGUCUGCCCAGCCCUGCGCAGUGACCAAUCACGGAGUGAGGCGGUGUCUCCACUUUCCGGAUGGAAACCUCUGGCGUGGGAGCAUUCUGUGGAAGGACCAGCACAGGGAAGAUGGAGUCAAGGAACCUAGAACUGGGGGGUUCUGUUUUUGAGUGUAGACACCAGGCUUUGGAGAGCCAGGAGCAGCCUUGCCUAGAGUGGAAAAAUGUGGCUUUGGAGUCAGAUGGACCUGGGCUCCAGAGCCACCAGCCGCGAGCCCUGGGUGUGCAUCUGCUUGACCUGCGAGGCCCGGCCUCAGUUGUGAAAUGUGGAAGUAACACCUGGGAGGGUGCUCUGAGAUUUCCUGGGGCGCUUACCUGUUGGGGCUCGGUUGCUGUGCUGGCCCAGGACUACUCAUGCGUCACCAUGCAGCAGGGCCCUGGCCCAAGGAUCUCACUCCAAAGGCUUCUCUUUACGGCACUUGUCACCACCAGACAUGCUGUAUUUUUAUGGGUGUAACUGGUGAUAAAUAUCCAAGUGGACUUGAGAGAACUUGGAAUGCAAUGCCGCCUGCUUCCUGCUCCCGUGGGACCCACGUGACUCUCAUCCCAGAGGAGACACCUGUGCCUCCAACCCGGUGGCUUGCCUCCUCGUCCCUCAGGAUGUAACGACAACGACAAGUUUACUGUGUGAGGUCCCAGGCCGAGCGCCAACGCUGAAUGGUUCAUUCAGACCUCACAUUGUCUGGCACAUUUUCAAGCAUUCUUCCCCGUGUUUUGUAGACAAGAAAACCAAGGCUCCCUGAGGGCCAGGUUAAGUAACUUGUCCAGCUGCUCGCCACGGCGCAAAGAUGAAGCUGAGUUUUGAAAUACCACAUCAUGCGGUAUUUAGAGAAGAAGAUUGAAAAGACUUUUCAGAAGAGGUGGGGAGGGACAAUUUUGACAUUAUCUUUUUUCUCCUUAUCAUAUAAGCAAUGCAUGCUCAUUGUUUGUUUAAUUAAGAAAAAGUCAGAGUUUGAAAAGACAUUAGCAGAGGAGUGGUGGUGAGGUUUCCCCUCAUCUGCCUGUUUCUUUCUAAGAACUAAGGGAAAUGACUGAGCCCUCAGAGGGGAGGGAGGGAGGAGAGAAUGUCCUGGCAUUAAAUCUGAGCGGAGAACAUCGUAACCCUGCAGGGGAGGUGUCCAUCCAUGUGCCGUGCUUCCAC
rnacentral:lncRNA from 1 species